rnacentral:rRNA from 1 species
GGCAUGCCUUACACAUGCAAGUCGAACGGCAGCACGGGAGCAAUCCUGGUGGCGAGUGGCGAACGGGUGAGUAAUAUAUCGGAACGUGCCCAGUCGUGGGGGAUAACGUAGCGAAAGCUACGCUAAUACCGCAUACGAUCUACGGAUGAAAGCGGGGGACUCGCAAGAGCCUCGCGCGAUUGGAGCGGCCGAUAUCAGAUUAGGUAGUUGGUGGGGUAAAGGCUCACCAAGCCAACGAUCUGUAGCUGGUCUGAGAGGACGACCAGCCACACUGGAACUGAGACACGGUCCAGACUCCUACGGGAGGCAGCAGUGGGGAAUUUUGGACAAUGGGCGCAAGCCUGAUCCAGCAAUGCCGCGUGCAGGAUGAAGGCCUUCGGGUUGUAAACUGCUUUUGUACGGAACGAAACGGUGAGCUCUAAUACAGUUUGCUAAUGACGGUACCGUAAGAAUAAGCACCGGCUAACUACGUG